CACGUAGGGACCAAGCGUUGUCCGGAUUCAUUGGGCGUAAAGAGCUCGUAGGCGGCUCAGUAAGUCGGGUGUGAAACCUCCAGGCUCAACCUGGAGACGCCACCCGAUACUGCUGUGGCUAGAGUCCAGUAGGGGAGCGUGGAAUUCCUGGUGUAGCGGUGAAAUGCGCAGAUAUCGGGAGGAACACCUAUGGCGAAGGCAGCUCGCUGGGACGUUACUGACGCUGAGACGCGAAAGCGUGGGGAGCAAACAGG
rnacentral:rRNA from 1 species